rnacentral:rRNA from 1 species
UACGUAGGGGGCAAGCGUUGUCCGGAUUUAUUGGGCGUAAAGAGCGUGUAGGCGGCCAUGUAGGUCCGUUGUGAAAACUCGAGGCUCAACCGUCGAGACGCCGGUGGAAACUGCAAAGCUAGAGUCCGGAAGAGGAGAGUGGAAUUCCCGGUGUAGUGGUGAAAUGCGUAGAUAGUCGGGAGGAACACCAGUGGCGAAGGC